UUAAGUGUACCGCCUGGGGAGUACGGUCGCAAGAUUAAAACUCAAAGGAAUAGACGGGGACCCGCACAAGCGGUGGAGCAUGUGGUUUAAUUCGAAGAUACGCGAAAAACCUUACCUGGCCUUGACAUUGAUAGAAUCCUGUAGAGAUACGGGAGUGCCGGCUUGCCGGAACUUGAAAACAGGUGCUGCACGGCUGUCGUCAGCUCGUGUCGUGAGAUGUUGGGUUAAGUCCCGCAACGAGCGCAACCCACGUCCUUAGUUGCCAGCAUUUCGGAUGGGAACUCUAAGGAGACUGCCUUCGCAAGGAGGAGGAAGGUGUGGACGACGUCAAGUCAUCAUGGCCCUUACGGCCAGGGCUACACACGUGCUACAAUGGGGCGUACAAAGAGCAGCAAUACCGCGAGGUGGAGCAAAUCUCAAAAACGCCUCCCAGUUCAGAUUGCACUCUGCAACUCGAGUGCAUGAAGUUGGAAUCGCUAGUAAUCGUAGAUCAGCAUUGCUACGGUGAAUACGUUCCCGGGUCUUGUACUCACCGCCCGUCACACCAUGGGAGUUGAUUUCACCCGAAGCGGGGAUGNUAAAGUAGCUACCUUUCACGGUGGAAUCAGCGACUGG
rnacentral:rRNA from 1 species